rnacentral:rRNA from 1 species
CACCAGACUCCUACGGGAGGCAGCAGUGGGGGAUAUUGCACAAUGGGGGCAACCCUGAUGCAGCGACGCCGCGUGAGCGAUGGAGUACUUCGGUAUGUAAAGCUCUGUCAGCAGGGAAGAGAAUGACGGUACCUGACCAAGAAGCCCCGGCUAACUACGUGCCAGCAGCCGCGGUAAUACGUAGGGGGCAAGCGUUAUCCGGAUUUACUGGGUGUAAAGGGAGCGUAGACGGCAGUGCAAGUCCGGAGUGAAAGCCCGGGGCUCAACCCUGGGACUGCUCUGGAAACUGUAAAGCUGGAGUGCGGGAGGGGCAGGCGGAAUUCCUGGUGUAGCGGUGAAAUGCGUAGAUAUCAGGAGGAACACCGGUGGCGAAGGCGGCCUGCUGGACUGCAACUGACGUUGAGGCCCGAAAGCGUGGGGAGCAAACAGGAUUAGAUACCCGUGUAAC